GACGAACGCUGGCGGCGUGCUUAACACAUGCAAGUCGAACGAUGAAGCGGUGCUUGCACCGUGGAUUAGUGGCGAACGGUGAUUAUGAUCCCCUUUGAUCUGGAUAAGCCUGGGAAACUGGGUCUAAUACCGGAUACGACCAAUCUCUGCAUGGGGUGUUGGUGGAAAGCGUUAUGGAGUGGUUUUAGAUGGGCUCACGGCCUAUCAGCUUGUUGGUGAGGUAAUGGCUUACCAAGGCGACGACGGGUAGCCGGCCUGAGAGGGUGACCGGCCACACUGGGACUGAGACACGGCCCAGACUCCUACGGGAGGCAGCAGUGGGGAAUAUUGCACAAUGGGCGCAAGCCUGAUGCAGCGACGCCGCGUGAGGGAUGACGGCCUUCGGGUUGUAAACCUCUGUUAGCAUCGAAGAAGCGAAAGUGACGGUAGGUGCAGAGAAAGCGCGGCUA
rnacentral:rRNA from 1 species